GGCCAGGGGGAAAGAAAAAGUAUAAAUUAAAACAUGUUGUAUGGGCAAGCAGGGAGUUAGAACGAUUCGCAGUCAACCCUGGCC
rfam:Human immunodeficiency virus type 1 mRNA for gag polyprotein (gag gene), clone g27s2